AUAAUUUGGAGAGUUUGAUCCUGGCUCAGGACGAACGCUGGCGGCAUGCCUAAUACAUGCAAGUCGAGCGGAGUUGUUUUGAAAGCUUGCUUUCAAAACAACUUAGCGGCGGACGGGUGAGUAACACGUAGGUAACCUGCCUGUAAGACUGGGAUAACUACCGGAAACGGUAGCUAAUACCGGAUAAUUUGUUUCUUCUCAUGAAGAGACACUGAAAGGCGGAGUAAUCUGCCACUUAUAGAUGGGCCUGCGGCGCAUUAGCUAGUUGGUGAGGUAACGGCUCACCAAGG
rnacentral:rRNA from 1 species